rnacentral:rRNA from 1 species
AUGGUGGACGCCGGGGUGACGGGCGUGCUGUCGAAGCUGGGAGAGGUGGCGUCGGCGGAGGCGACGGCGCUGCUCCGGGUGGACGAGCAGAUCCGGGAGCUGCGCCGGCGGCUGGUGUACCUGCAGGCGCUUGGCCGCGGCGCCGACCAGCAGCGGCGCGGCCGCGCCAGCGAGCUGCUGCUGCUGUGGGCGCAGGAGACCCGGGAGGUGGCCUUCGAGGUGGAGGACGCCGUCGACGAGUUCCAUCUCAAGGUGGAGGCCUUCCAGUUCAAGGCCAGGCGGGGCCACUCCUGGUACCACUCGGCUCUCACACUGCUAAGCGGGCUCGCCAUGCAGAUUGCUGCAAGGCAUGGCCUGUCAAGGGAGAUAACAAAGAUCAACGGAAGGAUCAAGGAAAUCGGUGAGAUCAAGGAAACGUAUCAGAUCCAAAGCUCCCCGGCUGAGAUAUGGAGCGCGUCCUCCAUUGAUGCCGCCGAUGCUUACUGGGAUAUUGAAGCUGACAACGCCAUCGAGUUGAGGGGGGAAGAAUUUGCGACCCUAAAAACACACAUCCUAGAGGAGCAGAGCAAGAUAGAACGUCGAGCUGUCAUCUCCAUCGUUGGACCAAGCGGCAUUGGUAAGACGACACUGGCCAGGAAGUUGUACAAUGACCGUGCUGUGAGGGAACACUUCAAGGUGCGCGCCUGGAUAAGCCUUCCGCCGUGCAUCCGGUUCGAGAAGUACCUCGAGAUGAUGUACGAGCAGGUCCGCAAGCAGGUCCCUGAAGACCUGCAACAUGGGGAUGGAGACGCCAGUGGUAAACUUCAACAACUUCUGAGAAAACAUGAGCACAAUUAUUUGGUGGUGCUCGAUGGCCUGGUGGACAUUAGUGACUGGAACUCUUUAGUCAGCUUGCUGCCAGAUGACAACCCCAGAAGCCGAAUCCUUCUCACCACACAGCUCAAAGUGAAGGAAAUUAAACCCAGUGUCAAGUAA